rnacentral:rRNA from 1 species
CAGUCGCCGCGGUAAAACAGAGGAUGCAAGCGUUAUCCGGAAUGAUUGGGCGUAAAGCGUCUGUAGGUGGCUUUUCAAGUCCGCCGUCAAAUCCCAGGGCUCAACCCUGGACAGGCGGUGGAAACUACCAAACUGGAGUACGGUAGGGGCAGAGGGAAUUUCCGGUGGAGCGGUGAGAUGCGUUGAGAUCGGAAAGAACACCAACGGCGAAAGCACUCUGCUGGGCCGACACUGACACUGAGAGACGAAAGCUAGGGGAGCAAAUGGGAUUAGAUACCCCCGUAGUCCCUGUCUCUUAUAC